GCUCAAUGCCUGUGUGGUUGUUAUAAAAGCAUAGCAAGAAGCUUUUAGAAUCAGAAAAGCUUCAGCCUGCAGGAAAUCAGGGCUAGCCAGAAAGAAAUAUACAGGAGAAAGCUACAAAAUAUGGAACAUUUUUCAUCCUUACCCAGAUGCCCAGACAAAAGAAGAUAAUCAGCAUUUAAAAGAGUUUGCUUUGCUGUGCUGAGAUUGACUACUUGAAUGUAGAUCUAUGGUGAAAACAGACACAUGGAAACAGCUACUCUUUUGUUCCAAUGAGGUAACACUAACAU